CAGAAAUGGUCACCUGCGUCAUAAGAAACAAUCCUUUACAGUGGGUUGCUUUUUCAACUCUAAAUGUGUUUGCUACUUGAUGAACUUGGCAAUGUAUGGAACAGUCCUGUUAGCCAAGCUUUCUAAGUAAUUAGUAAGCUUAAUGCUUGUUUGCUGUGUGUCUGUUUUAGUUUUGUAAACGGUAGUGGUCCUUAACUAUUUCUGAAAGGGGUUCAGCAGUGAUAAAAAGGCAGCUGAUUCAGGCAGGACAUGUGGGAUGGAGAUGACACCAUUUCUGGGUGUCACUCUGAACAGGACAGUGUGUCUGGAUUCUUGGUUAUGCACUGAAAUGCCAGAGGUGGUGCAAGCCUACCCCAAUUCAUUGCUGCCCCUGAGGAGGGAAACCUGUCACAAUUGCACUCCCUGCUGUUUUCUGUGUCGUCUUUGGAUGCCUGCGCUGAGGGCUGGGGUAGGGGUGGAAAGCAAGCUUCGUAGUGAUGCUUUGGGAGGUAGAUAUGGCUAGCUGUGCUAACGGGCAACUUUGCCAUAAAUCACCGUGGCAGCAGCCCUGCAGUGCCAAUACAUUUACCAACAGAAACCUAUGAAGUAAACUGCAAAUUAGCGCAAUCAACACUUAGGUGCCUUAUUUUGCUUUAGGGAGCUCUUAGUUUUCCAGUUGCUCUGUAAAUAUUAACCCCCACACACAACUUACUGGCUUUAUUGUUUAAUCCAUUCGAUGUACAAAAUCAUCUUUUCUUAGGGAGACCUCACCAGAGAGAAGCCAAGCGAGAAACUGAGGUUAGUUAAUCAGUGAAUGGGGAUGAGCUGAGAAAAAAACACUGCUGUGGAGCUCACAGAAGAAUAUGGAAAGUAUCAAAAGAGGUAUUCAUGAUACUUACUGACAAAUGAAAUAACUAAAAAUAAAAAACCCUUGGUGGAUAUUUAUGUGCAUGAAAGGGUUGAGUUGUAUUUCUGUUCUACAGUUCUCUGAUUUGCGUAUUAAGAUGUACUUGGUACUCAUGAUGGAUUAUGCUUUGUUAAAGGGUAAUUUCAACCAUUUUCUAGUAUUUCAGGCUGUUGUUUGAAAGGCAGCAUUCCACCGAGGGAACAAGACUAAUGCAGUGGGGUUUUAAAUGACCAGCUGAACUACACAUAAACGAGGAGAUGAAAAGAACACAGAGUACACAACCUUUUGUCUGGGAAUUAGUCAUCUAAACAAUUUUUGGAUCAAUAUAGCAAACAAAAUCAGGAGCCAUUCGACAACACUUUUCAUAAGAAGAAACCAUUGUAACCAGCAGUGCCAAGCAACACUCAGCCUGACCUUCAUACACAGGUCAUCUGGACCUGCUCUGGAAAUACAAGAUAUGCUGUAGUUGCAAAUGCCUAUUUACCAGAAAAAGCAAUGAAAGAAAGGAGAAAAUGCUGUCAGAAUACUCUCAUCUGUGACUGAGUCCUGGCGGCCGGGUGCUCCUGGUGCCUCCAUGCUGCUGUUGAUUUCAGACAUGCGAGACUGGGUACAUCAGUCUGCCUGUACUUGGCAGAAUGACGCUGCACUUGGAGCAAGCUGGCUGGAAGUAGUAGGAUAUUAGUGUUGCUUAAGGGUUGAGCCUGUCCUCAUAUAUACAAGUUGCAGUAAUGGAAUCUGACCUUUUUAUGACACCCUUGAUAGAAAAUGCCAUCAUGUAUUAAUAGCUGGUAUUAAAUAAAGUGUCAUCAGUGAAUGAAAGGGCAACCAUUGCCCAUUAGGUACUACACCAGCAUCGCCUUGACUGGGCUCUGACAUCUCUUAGGCGGACAAUGAAAGCUCUAAUUUAAAAUACUGUCUUGAGAGGAAAAGAUAUUAACGCUUGGAGCUUGCAUUAAUGUUACCCGAUUCUGUUCCAAAGGUUUUUCUUCAUUGUCUUUGUGCCUCAGUCAGUCCUGCCUGGUUGUAGGCCAAGACUGACAUGCACAUACUGAAAAGCUGCGUGGCAGCCUCCGCUACUUUUUAAUUUUCUUUACACUGGAAUGUGAGUACAGGGAAGGUAUGAAGGUGAGAGCUAAAAAGUCUCAAAAACUCUGGCCAGGAUGUCAAAGACCAGUGGGUAUUUUGGCUGCUAAUUUUCUUGGUCAGACUUCCAAGUCUUGAUUAUUUUUAAAGAAUUUUCAUCUUCCACGUUAUAUCUGGACAUUAUCUGUUAGCAACUUUUUUUGUGAGAUUUUUGCUUUGUCUACAUUCCUUGCUUGAUAGUCCAUAGGAGACUAUAUAUGUCUUUUUCAUACACACACACACUGCCAUUCACUCUGUCCCUGUGUAGUACAGUAAAUCCAUUAAUAGAUACAACAGUAUAAUAGAAUAAGAUAAAGAUUAAAGGCUUAAAGGAGCCAGAGGAGAACGCUCCCGAAAUGAAAUGUCCACUUGGUUUUGUGCAAGUCAAUGGAACAGUUGCAUGGGAGUACAGAAUGCAGAGACCUUUACGUGAUUUUCUUGAUUAUAUAAUACCAAUAAGGUUAUAGACAUAUAUUUAGAGAGAGUUAGCCUCAAGUUUCUCGGUGAUAUAAAAGAAAUAAAAUACAUCCCUACUACAGCUGCACUAAAACUGUCUGAGAAUAAUAAUUAUUUUAGCUCAUUAAAGGCCUUAAACCUUCAGGUCCUGACAAUUCUGAUCUUAACGCCCAGUGUUCUUAGGUAAUGGGCAUUGCCUGACUGCGUAUUACGUAUGGGUGCGGAGACGUGCUGCGUCCCAGGCAGGGUGUUUGGCAUGUCUGAUGGCUGAUGGGAGCUUGGCUUUGGAAGCAGAACUGGUUACAGCUAGGACAGGCUGGGAGGCUGGCACCCAAACCGCACCCAGAUCUCUGCACACUGCGUGGUGAGCUUUGACCUGGUGCUGCUUUACUUCCCUGCUAAGAAAGCGGAGGUUUUUUAGAUACCUUCUCUGUCUCUGGUCUUCUAGUGCUGCUUGCAAGUGCUGUAGCAACAGAAACGCUUGCUAAUGAGAGGGUCAGUUGCUGCUGCUGCAAGCACACCUCCUUGCACCCCUGCAUGCAGGAGUGCCUGCUGCGCCCCUGAAGACUCGCUGUUGUGUUCUCUGCUGCUGCUUACAGAAGGGAAAAUGCAGGCGUGGGGGUUGGAAGCCUUGCUUGGUACUAGUUUUCUUCUGUUAUUUUUUGGCUUACUGGCUUGUACCCAACAGCUAUCGACUGUUGGGAACAAGGACUUUUGCCUUCAAUGAAAUAUCACAGAUUUCGAACACAAUAGAUGCUUUAUGGUUAAAAUGGGCUGUGCCAUAAAAUUAAGGAGAAAGAAGGCAAUUUCAUAGGUAAGUGAAGGUGGCUUCCUUCAAUGUUUUUUGGUAUGCCAUGCAAGAUAGAAGAUACCUUCUGGUUGACUUCUUUGGUAUGUAAAAUGACUGUCUUGUGAUGUGGAUGAUGUCAGCAGACCUGCUUGUCUCCUUUUGGAUAAUUUGUUUCUGAUAUGGUUCUUACAAAACAUGUACCCUUAUACAAAAGUCUUGUAGAGUUCAGGUGCUGUAGGAGUGGCUUUACCUAAAGAAUUGAGCAAUGAGAAGUUGUUUUCCCUUCUAAGUUUUUUUUUCAUUGCUAGUGAGGGGUCUGUGUGAGGAAGAGGUCUCAAAGAAUUUGUAGAAUACUUCAGAAAAUUAUCACUUUUUGUUAUGCUCAUACAGGUGAUAGUUCUAAGAUAUACUUUUACCCCCUCAAAAUCUGAAUUUUGUAUUUCACAGUUCCGUCAACCUAAACCUGCUAAUCCUCUAAUCACCUGAAAUUAGCUCGAAAGGUCUUGUUUCUCUACCAAGCUCUUUUGAUGCUUUUAAAGAGCACUGUUACAAGAGUACACAAAGCACUCCUAUUUGAAAGACUGGGUGGGAAAACACAUUUUCCCUACAAGCAUCAAUUUUAACCAGAAGACUGUCAGAACUGAACUGCCCUCUUAGGCAAGAUUUAUGUUAGUCUCUCACUGAACGAGCAGGUGAAACAGAAUAGUGUUGUACUGAAGAACAACGACUAUUAUAUAGCUAAAUGUUUCCCUGGGCCUGCAGGCUGAGACCACUGUCUGGAGGUGAAAACAAAAUAUAUUACUUUUAUGACUGUGGGCAAAAAACCCUGAAUUUUUUUCUGUUUCUGUUUUCCCCAUUGUUCAUAAUACACAGAAAAUCAAGUGUCUGCUAUGAUUCAGUCUCGUUUGUGCAUUUUCUGCACAUUAUUUCCUGUUACUUAGAUUUUUAUAUUUUUUUCAAAUACUGUGAAUCAACGCAAGGUUAUAUUUACUCUGUUUUGAUGUGAUGAUGCCUCCAUGUUACAAGAUAUGAACCUGUCUUGUCAUAGAGAAAUGGUUAUGGACAGACUAGCUGAAGUCUCUUGGAGCACAGUGAUAGCUAAAGGUCUUGUGAACUGUAAAUCCAUUUGUCUAGUAGGUAGUGCAUGCAGAGCGUGGGAUCAGAUACCUGGAUUUGGGGCUUCUUUUUGAGGAACUGAAGGCUCAAGGAACUGAAGGCUGAAGAAGACUGUGAGGCAGAGUGAAUUGGGAAGAGGCGAGCUCCGGACAGCUUCAGCUGACAAGGGCUGUAGGAUCCCUACUCACAUCUCACUAUGCCAUCCUGGGAGUAUGCUCCGGUUAACCCAGGAUUGCGCUGCUUGCUUUAGUGGAGAACGACAACUGCCUUCUCUGCCUUUCUCACCAAGCAGGAUGCACCUAGCUGAGGGGUUACUGUGGUAAAGGAGUUUGAUCAUCUGGGAAUCAUCAACAUCUAGGAUCCCCAGAGUGAAUACAAUACAAAAAUACGCUGGAGGAAAUUUUGGUUGCCGGAAUGCAAAAGGUUAAGUUGCUCGGGCUGAACUCUGCAGGGUUCAUGAUGGGGGAAGGAGAUCCCUCCCAUGGCAAAGUGGGAUGAUGUACUUUGGGACAAGUCCUUUUAGUGGCGGCAGAUGUUAGAGAAGAUGGAGCUGUUAACGAAGUCCCAUACUAAAAGUCUGGUCUCAGAAUCUGGUUUUCAUGAAAUUAUCUUUAUCAAUCUGUUCCUUUUUAUGUUAAGAACCAAGAAGAGGGAUGGUGUGUUACUCUGCCAGAUUCUCUGGGCAGAGGAAAAAGAUUUGGCUGACCCCUUACACGUUUUAGGAGGAAAGCCAGGGAAGACCUCUCUUCCAGGCUUUUUAUCAUCAGGUAACUUUAACUGUAAAAUCACAUCUAAGACCAUCCAAAACAGACUCAAACCAGCAGAUUCCACCUAACUGCAUUUUUUUUUUCUACAGGUGCAAGCAGAAAUGCUAGAUUUAAGUUGGCUUCUGAUUUCACAGAAUGCCACUGACUGUAUGACAAACUCUACAGAAAUAGCUGUAAAACGGAUUCCUACCAACGGGCUAUGUGGCCGCUGCAGCCCCUGAAGCACAGCCCCUGCAGUGCUCUUUGAAACUUCAAAUGUCCAUUUUUAAAUGCAUACCCUGAAAUACGGGUCCUCUACCUCGAUGUACAGAAAUGGGAGAUAGAAGAAGAGGCUGCAAAUAGUAUUUGUAUGCAAAACACUUAGUGCCGGCAGAGCUCGUGAUAGAGCACUGAGCAGAUUAACAAUUAGCUCUGGCUGUGCGUAUCGUGGAUGUAAAGCAAGAUGACCUAAUACCGAGAUCAAAAUACUUAACCAGCCCAUGGCAUUAGUCCCAUUACUUUCUUGCCUGCUAGAAAAUAUCAGAAUAAAUGCUUGCCUGCUUCUAGUGAGUCUGGAAGAUGUAACAAGUUUGAGCAAUAUGAGAUGUCAGGUGUGCAUGCUCCUGAGCUGAGGUAUUCCAGCCUUGGCUCCCCAAAGUCCUUGCUGAACUCCACAAGCUCAGGUGGGAUCUGGGGAGCUGCUGGUUCCUAAAGUAGAUUCCUAUGGUGGCUUUGUAAAUCAGUUUUGAGGUGAACUGCCACCAAAACAUUAUAUCAGAUACAGAGCACAGUUGUAAUUUGCUAGUGCCAGGAAUUUUAUUUUAUCCAGGGAUCACUGCCAAGUAAGCAGCCAGAUGAAUUUUUCUCCCACUGGAUUCCUAAGAUCUAGAUCCACAAAAACAGGUAGAUUCCCGAUUCUCCUUGACUCCAGUAGAGAUUGGGCACCUAGACCUAAUUCUGGUGACCUGAGCCAAAGAACCUUCUGCUGCCAGCUCUGCAAAGGGCACGUGGAAACCUUGCCUUUGUUAUUUGUCGUUGGGGGAAUUUGGGGACUUUUGGUACUUUCAAUGCCCAGUAGAUAGUCUCACAGUUCCUUCUAAACCGUGCUCAGCGUGUGUGUUGUACGGCUGCCGGUGACUGUGGUUGAACAGGCUCUGCCAUUCAGGAAGAGCUGAGAGUGCCUUUCACCCUGCAUCGUUACAAUAUACAGUGUCAUCUGUGUCUGCGGCCGCUGACUCGGAGGGGAAUGGCCAGAACUACAGUUCCUGAGGGACUCUAGAAGCCAGUGAGUUUCUAAUUCUCUCUCACUCUCGGAAGUGUUAGUCACCAGUGGGGCAGCGUAGCAGCACCUGGGUGCGCGUGAGCUAAUGAUGGCUGGUGGCAAGCUAUGUGUAUAAAUACUGUAUGAGUCUAGGUGUAACAAAGCCGUGUCCAAUGCUAGGCAGAAAUACUGAAUUCUCCUUAUUUAUUUUGGAGGAAUAGUCCUGCAGUUAUGAAGAUGAGCUGCAUAUUAUUUUAAAGUCAUCUUUGUGUGUGGAAACUUUUGUGCUAGCUUUCAUGAGAAGCUUAGAAAGGUUUCUGCACAGAGAGGCUACUGCCUGUGUUCUGGUGGAUGACCCCAAAAUGAGGCAAAAUCCACACCAAAAUAUUUCAAAGAAUAUAAUUUUGUACUAAGAUCCAUGCCCUGAGAAGACAACUACUGGAGCUGUUUGCAUUAUACUUUUUUGCAGGGGAGGGAGGGGAGAGGAAUUCCAGACAUUGUAAAUAAAGUGUAACAACUAUAGGGAAGGGAAGAUGUGGAUGAUACUGUGCUAAACGCUAAAUCUAGGCUUUAUUGAGGCAGCUACCUCUGCUUUGGUGCUGGAAGGCUGGACAGGAAAACGGUGGGAUAAAAGAUGCUCCUUCCACUUGUAAAGCUUCCAUCCUGGGAGAGCUGUGGCGGAGCGCUGGAACGGCCGCUCAGCCCCAUGUCCGU